rnacentral:rRNA from 1 species
ACAAAGGGCUGCAAGUUCGCGAGGACAAGCAAAUCCCAUAAACCGUGGCUCAGUUCAGAUCGUAGGCUGCAACUCGCCUACGUGAAGGAGGAAUCGCUAGUAAUCGCAGGUCAGCAUACUGCGGUGAAUACGUUCCCGGGCCUUGUACACACCGCCCGUCACACCAUGGAAGUUGGCCACGCCCGAAGCCGUUACUCCAACCCUCGGGAGGAGGACGUCGAAGGUGGGGCUGAUGACUGGGGUGAAGUCGUAACAAGGUAUCCGUACCGGAAGGUGCGGAUGGAUCACCUCCUAAC